rnacentral:rRNA from 1 species
CUAGUAACGGCGAGUGAAGCAGCAAUAGCUCAAAUUUGAAAUCUGGCGUCUUCGACGUCUGAGUUGUAAUUUGUAGAGGAUGCUUCUGAGUAACCACCGACCUAAGUUCCUUGGAACAGGACGUCAUAGAGGGUGAGAAUCCCGUAUGCGGUCGGAAAGGUGCUCUAUACGUAGCUCCUUCGACGAGUCGAGUUGUUUGGGAAUGCAGCUCUAAAUGGGAGGUAAAUUUCUUCUAAAGCUAAAUAUUGGCCAGAGACCGAUAGCGCACAAGUAGAGUGAUCGAAAGAUGAAAAGCACUUUGGAAAGAGAGUUAAAAAGCACGUGAAAUUGUUAAAAGGGAAGGGAUUGCAACCAGACUUGCUCGCGGUGUUCCGCCGGUCUUCUGACCGGUCUACUCGCCGCGUUGCAGGCCAGCAUCGUCUGGUGCCGCUGGAUAAGACUUGAGGAAUGUAGCUCCCUCGGGAGUGUUAUAGCCUCUUGUGAUGCAGCGAGCGCCGGGCGAGGUCCGCGCUUCGGCUAGGAUGCUG